UACAAAAACAUGUCUUUUUGUUUAAAAUAAAAAGUCUAACCUGCCCACUGAUAUAUUUAUUAAAGGGCCGCAGUAUAUUGACUGUGCAAAGGUAGCAUAAUCAUUUGUCUUUUAAUUGAAGACUGGAAUGAAUGGUUGAAUGAAAUAUUAACUGUCUCAAUUUUAAAAAAUUAAAAAUUUAAUUUUUAAGUUAAAAAGCUUAAAUAAAUUUAAAGGACGAGAAGACCCUAUAGAUCUUUAUAUUUAUAAUUAUAUUAUAAAAUAGAAGAAUAAUAAAUAAUAUUUUUAUAAAUAUUUUAUUGGGGUGAUAGGAAAAUUUAAUAAACUUUUUUUAAAAUUAAACAUAGAUUUAUGAAUACUUGAUCCAUUAUUAAUGAUUAUAAGAUUAAGUUACCUUAGGGAUAACAGCGUAAUUUUUUUAGAGAGUUCAUAUCGAUAAAAAAGAUUGCGACCUCGAUGUUGAAUUAAAGUAAUUUUUAGAUGUAGCAGUUUAAAAUUUAGGUCUGUUCGACCUUUAAAUCUUUACAUGAUCUGAGUCAAACCGGAA
rnacentral:rRNA from 1 species